CAAAUUUUCUCUUAAGAAACCGCUCUAAUUUCCAAUAUUUACUCCUAAUCCACUGUAAAAAUAUAUUAAAUUUCUGAAAAUAAAAAAAUAAAAAACAUAGCAAUCAAUAUAAAAAAAAUAUCAAAUAAAAAAUAUUAUAAAAAAAAUUAUAUGUCAAAAUAAAAUUUCUUACGGAAAAAUGUACCCUUCGGUGGAUUCUUACCACCCUAUUCCUAGUCGCGAUUAUAUUUUGGAGUGGGUAAUAAAUCAAACCAAUGUUUGGCUGAAGAGGAACGAAGAAAAAUGAAGUUUUAAGAAAAAAAAAUUCAAGAAAUAAGAAAUUAUAAUCUUACCAGAAUAUGUGGUCCAUCCCCAAUUAUUUCUAUCGGUUGGAUUGGUUCCUCGGCCAUGAUUACCAAAUUAUUUGGCCUCCUAAACCAGAGCCUCGGAUUGGACCAUUGGUUGCUGCCAAACUGAAUUAAAAUGUUAAAAUAUUAAAAUUUAUGGUUAAACCAUUAAAAUUAUUAAUACUCACAUUCCUAAAAAACGCUCUAUCCAUCAA